rnacentral:tRNA from 1 species
CAUUAAGAAGCUAUGCACCAGCACUAGCCUUUUAAGCUAGAGAAAGAGGACCCACCCCUCCUUAAUG